rnacentral:rRNA from 1 species
GGAGGAAAAGAAACUAACAAGGAUUCCCCUAGUAACGGCGAGUGAAGAGGGAAAAGCUCAAAUUUUGAAUCUGGUGUCUUUGACUCCCGAGUUGUAAUCUAGAGAAGUGUUUUCCGUGUCGGACCGUGCACAAGUUCCCUGGAACGGGGCGUCAUAGAGGGUGAGAAUCCCGUAUAUGGCAUGGACUGCCGAUGCUUUUGUGAUACACUCUCAACGAGUCGAGUUGUUUGGGAAUGCAGCUCAAAAUGGGUGGUAAAUUCCAUCUAAAGCUAAAUAUUGGCGAGAGACCGAUAGCGAACAAGUACCGUGAGGGAAAGAUGAAAAGCACUUUGGAAAGAGAGUGAAACAGUACGUGAAAUUGUUGAAAGGGAAGCGUUUGAAGUCAGUCGUAUCUGGUGGGAUUCAGCCGGGCUUUUGCCAGGUGUACUUCUCGUCCGAUGGGUCAGCAUCAAUUUCGACCGGGGGAAAAAGAUGUGUGGAAUGUGGCUGUCUUCGGGCAGUGUUAUAGCCAUGUGUUGUAUGCCUCGGUUGGGAUUGAGGAACGCAGCGCGCCUUAAGGCCAGGGGUUCGCCUCUUGACACGCGCUUAGGAUGCUGGCAUAAUGGCUUUAAGCGACCCGUCUG